rnacentral:rRNA from 1 species
ACGGAAGGCAGCAGUGGGUGAUAUUGCACAAUGGGGGGAACCCUGAUGCAGCGACGCCGCGUGAGCGAAGAAGAUCUUCGGAUUGUAAAGCUCUGUCUUAGGGGACGAUAAUGACGGUACCCUGAGAGGAAGCCACGGCUAACUACGUGCCAGCAGCCGCGGCAAUACGUAGGGGGCAAGCGUUGUCCGGAAUUACUGGGUGUAAAGGGAGCGGAGGCGGGGCGACAAGUUGGAAGUGAAAAUUACGGGCUUAACCCGUGAACUGCUUUCAAAACUGCCGAUCUUGAGUGGUGUAGAGGUAGGCGGAAUUCCCGGUGUAGCGGUGGAAUGCGUAGAUAUCGGGAGGAACACCAGUGGCGAAGGCGGCCUGCUGGGCACUAACUGACGCUGAGGCUCGAAAGCAUGGGUAGCAAACAGGAUUAGAUACCCUGGUA